CAUCACACCCCAUCGAUAAAUAGCCCCUUAUCACAUUUUCAUUUCAUAUCUCCCAUUUCAAUUCUCCGGCCGCCUCCGAUCUCCGGCAGCUCAUUUUCCCCUCAGAUUUUCUCCUCCUAGUUUCUCGUCGUCGAAAAUCGUGUAGAUCGAGAGACGAUCUGCGUUUUGGUUAUGGCUUUCAACGUUUUCGUUUUGCUGCCGAUUUUCCUCCGGUUUACCGCCGGACCGGCUGAAUUUGGGUAGAUCCGAUGCGGUGUGAACAUACCGACGAGCGGUUAUUAAUUGUAUGUCCAAUGAUCUGCUACCACCGAAGGAUUUUUCCUACUGCAAAUAAUGAUUUGCUGAGCAGAUGAGGUUUAUUAGCUGGAAUAUUCUGGAACAGAAAAAUUCAUUUGGAUUACAAUUCUUCCAUUUGAAACUGAUGCUGGAAUGAUCGUGUCAUCGAUUUGGUGGUAGCCUGCAUCUGCAUCUGUGUCUGCGUGGACCUCAAUCGAUGGAUUGAUUGUAAGGGAAGUUAAUUGUUAUUUAUUUAAUUUUACUGCAUGUUUUAUAUAUGUUAUUGGUGAGGUAAUAUUUAUGUAAUAAGAAAAGAGAGCCGAGUGUGGUAUCUGUGAAAAAAAAGAGAGGUUAGAAGUUUUUGUCUGACUGACCUUUGCCAUGAUGGGUGCGCUCGCAUGGCAGGUCACCAUUUAAUAAAAAAAAUAUUUCUCUUUUAGGGGGAGAUGGCACGAGGUUUUGCUCGGCUCUCCCCCCGUGUGUGGUGUCUUUUGCCUUUUGCGUUUCGUUUUUAGUCUUUAUUCCGCACGGCCUACACAGUUUGAAUCUGGCAAUCAGUUCUAUCAAAUCUCUAUGCUCUUUAUUGGGUUGUGUUUUCAACAAUGAUAAAAGAAAAAAAAAUAGCACAAUCCAUUAAAGAGUAAAGACAAACACAAUCCAAAUUAUUUGCAAGGGAGAGUUGUGUGCAAGCAAGGUUUUUUGUCUCCUCAAUCAUCACCGCUCGAAAGGUACUAGACACUCCUUUGAUCUAUUUAGUUUUCUAGCAAUUUAGUAUUGCCUCAUCAAAUUAAUUCUAAUAAUCUUAAUUUUAUAUUAGUAAUCCAAAUUAUUUAGGGUUUCAUCAUCUAUUUAAAUAAUUGGGUGUGUCAAAGAUAACAACAUUUUAUUGGAUGUAUUUGAGUAUUAACAGAAGUACUAGAUCAUCAACUUUAUCCUUUUGAACUAAGAAAUUAGGACUGAAUACCUUUCAUUUUAGGUUAAGAAUCUAGGUUAACAAGUCAUACAGCUGGUUUCUACACUGAUAAUAUACACCACGUUCUUCGUUCUGUUGCCACGUACCAUCCAUUUUAAUCUGUUUGAUCUCUAAUGAAAGUGCAGAUGCUAAACGACAAUCAUGGUCUCUAACUUCUAAAAAAAGUGUACGUUCUUGAUUUUAAUCGUUUGUAUUUACCAACACACAACUGAUAACACAUGCAUUAAAGUAUUGAUAGAGUGGCAGCCCUCUCAUUUUAAGAGCCAAACUAGGUCAAUUGCAAUAUUUUAUAUUUAUUAUCCGUUUAAUUAAAGUAUUUCUCGUAUUGUUUUUAUUUUUUGUUUGUAGUCAUUUUAUGUACUAAAAUUCUGAUGUACUUUAGUUAUUUCUCCUCUAUAUGCGAUGGGGCUGCUUCUGUUUAUUGAACAGCCUUCAUCUAAGGGUAGUUUGAAAGUUAUAGCAUGUUUGUAAUAGAGCAGUUAUUCAGAGUGUGAGGACUUGUUAGAGGUUGAGCUUUCCAAUCGAUGCUCAUUUCUUCAAGACUUUGUAGCUGUUGGCAUGGAAUGGUAAAUAGGUUUACUUGUUGCUGCCGAUGCUGUUCAUGAUAUAUGCCCUAUCUGGAUGUUUGGAUGCUGUGCUGUUGCCCGGUUUGUUGGAAUCGCCGCUUCUGCUGCUUCUGUUUAGAUCUGAUGUGUUGGGAGUUGCUGCUGCUGUGGUUUGGCUUUUUUUGUGAGCUGUCUUGCUGCUGAGUUUAUGUGAGUUGUGUCGAAGAUUGGCCUGUGUGCUGGUUGUAUUCGUUCAAUUUGGAUUGGCUUGUGCCUCGGAAGAAUAUCAAAGGGUUUUGUUUUUUGUCAAGUAAGCUGCAAGGAACUUCAAUUCAGUAUUUAUGCAUUUCAAGUAGUUUGGAAGAAUUUAUAGCAUCUUAUUGGUAUAAUUUACAAGGGAAUGUUCGUUUUUCUCAUUUUGUUGUUUGCUUUUGUUGGUGAGGUUGAUGUUUUAAUGGAAGUCACAAGAUACAUAUGAAAAUUUUCUAGUAUUCAAUUAAUACAUAUUAUUCUUGAUUUGUAUUUGAGUUAGUUUUGCUUAACAAAUGAUUAAAUUUUUAUUGUUUUGCAUAGAUCCUGUUCUAGCUGGCUCAUUAUUAUUUUGAUAGGAGGGCAUUUUCCUACAGGGUAAUAUACGAGGAUGUGAAUUUACCAUGAAGUACACAGUUGGUGACCUCUGCACUGUUCUAGAAAUUGUGAGUGAUCGGAGGAAACGAGCUAGUUCUAAGGAUGAAUCUCCAGGGGCCUGUGUUUGGCAAAAAGAAUCUCAUAAAAUCGAGAACGGAGUUAUGCUUGUUUCUAUCUUGGGGAGAAAUAGUAGAAUACUCUGUACGAGUCGAAUUUAUGUGCAGAAAAAAAGAUUUUAGAAGAAAAUAUUUGAUUUUUUAAAGUGAAAACAUAUUUGAUUUUUUUAACCGCAUCAGGCAUUUACUGUUUUAUGG